UACCCUGCAAGACCAAAAACCGAGCCCGAAAACAAUUCCCAAAUAUUGUAAAUUAUCAUGUAUGAUGUCUUCUCUCGGCAGGGGCUCUGUUGGACAAGGGAAGAAAAAGGUUCAGAUUUCGUUUAUCAUAAGAGAUGAAGUUGAAAAAUACAAUCGAUCAGGAGUUAAUGCUAUUCAACAUGAUCCAGAUUUGAAAAGGCUCUAUUCGGCUGGAAGAGAUUCCAUUAUACGAAUAUGGGAUACCCGUACAAAAAAGGAUCCGUAUCUGAAAUCAAUGGAGCACCAUAUUGACUGGGUCAAUGAUAUAGUACUAUGUUGUCGAGGAAGAAUAAUGUUAUCUGCUUCUAGCGACAGUACAAUUAAAGUCUGGAAUGCUCAUGAAGGAACAUGUAUGGCUACAUUACGUCCCCACAGGGAUUAUGUUAAAUGUCUAGCAUAUGCCAAGGACGUUGAGGUGGUAGCAUCUGCAGGCUUAGACAAGACGAUAUAUUUGUGGGAUGUGGAAGAAUUGGCAGCCCUUACCUCCACCAAUAACAAUGUCAAAGAGUCCAAAGUCCAUGAGAAGUCUUCUAUCUACAGUUUAGCCAUCAAUCCCCCUGGGACGAUUCUAGCCUGUGGAUCCACUGAGAAAGCAGUGGGGGUGUACUCGGUGGGAGUAAUGGAUACAAGGGGUCCCCAGGAUAUAAUGCGGCUGAAAGGACACACUGAUAAUGUCAGGGCUCUAGUGUUGAAUAGGGAUGGAACACAGGUAUUACUGUGUUCAUGUACUUUCCAUCAUGUGAAAAAUAUCCACGAAAUAAGUAUGCUUAGGAAAUUCUGUUCAUUUCCAGAUUAAAAAAGCCAGCUUGUUAAUUUUAAAUUUUAAUUUAUGAGUUUUUUAUCUGAUUUUUUGCAUUUUUAUUUGAAUUUGAUUUUACUAUAAGCUUAUAAGAAUGAAUGUUCCACGUUUCUGAAUUAUAGUAAUAAUUCAGUAGUUUCCAAAAAGAUUAAAACUAGUUGUUAAUUAAUCUACAAUUUUUUCAAGCAAUCUCCGAGUCCUGAGCAUGACUUUUUUGUUCCAGUGUUUGUCUGGUAGUUCUGAUGGAACAAUACGCCUGUGGUCCCUGGGACAGCAGAGGUGUGUGGCCACGUACCGUGUUCAUGAUGACAGUGUGUGGGCGUUACAGGCCAAUGAAUCUUUUACCACGGUCUACUCAGGGGGGCGAGACAGGAGGGUCUGGGCCACAGACCUACUGAAUCCCGACUACAGAACUCUUAUAUGUGAGGAAAAAUCACCCAUAUUGAAGCUGGAACUAGUGAAAGGGGACACAGACUAUGACUCCAUGUGGGUGGCCACUACAGACUCCACCAUCAAAAACUGGUCCUUGAAGAAUAUACAGAAAAGACUGUCAGGGGAAUAUGACAAUGAAAAUAUCAAACCAGUGUAUACACAGCCCAACUCUACAAUCAAAGGUGGUUCCAGCAUCAGACAGUACCAUGUAUUAAAUGACAAAUGUCACAUACUGACCAAAGACACAGAGAACAAUGUAGCACUUUGGAACGUCCUCAGUGCCCGGCUGAUUGAGAAUUUGGGAAAAGUCAGCUUUGAAGAGGAGAUAAAGAAACGGUUCAAGAUGGUCCACGUACCACAUUGGUUUACUGUAGAUCUAAAAAUAGGGUUAUUAACAAUACAUUUAGAUGAAUCAGAUGUUUUUUCUGCCUGGGUGUCAUCCAUAAGAGACCUUGGCAUAAAUCCACCAUCUGAGUGGGAAGAUUGCAAAAUAAACCUAGGCCAACAACUUUUACGAGCCCUGUUUGAGCAUUGGCCAAAGUCUCACAUGUACGAGAACCAAGAUGGGAUGAGGGAGAUGGCUGAUCCCCUACUGUUUUCAGUACCGGAGCACACACCCAUCCUAAUCAAUACGUGUGAUGACGGACAUGGUCGAGCACAUUUCCAUCCUUUCCUCUGCAGGGAUGCAGACAAAGAGACCCAACAGAAAUGUCUCAACGAAGAAGUCCCCUCCUGGGCAGCUGAAGUUCUUGCUCAUAAAAACAUGUCCCAAACUGUGACCAAAAUUGCAUUCUUUCUUCUACAAUAUCCAAAUAGUGGGAUCAAAACAGCACCAAAGGACCGUCUCUCAGCCAGUGAUAUGAUACAGGUGAGGAAGGUUAUAGAACAUGUGUAUGAGAAGGUAUUACGGCAGGGAGUCGAAAACGGGCACCAGUCAGGUGAAAGUGGCGACCACGAAAAAGAGGCUCAGGACAUCAGUAAACUUGCUGCGGAAAAAGUGGAACUUCUUUGUAACGACCAGGUUCUUGAUGCAAACAUGGACCUUAGAACAGUCAAACAUUUCAUUUGGAAACAAAGUGGAGACCUGACUUUACAUUACAGACUACUCAACAGGUGAUUGUAUUAGUGUUAUAGGAUAUGGACCUACCAGUUUUACAAACACUACGUCGGGCGACACUGUACCAAGGUUUUGCACCCAUUCAUGACCUCUGUGUCCAGGGUCAAGGGACCACAUUUGGAGAUGUGCAAACUUGAAGAAAAAUUUUUUAAAUAUUUUUUUCAAGGACACUGUUUUAAGUUGUUUUGUCUCGACACGCAGAACCAAAUUUUGUUGUAAAUGUGGAAAGGCCUGACCUAAUGUGGUGCAAGGUGACGUAUUUGCACCUUUGGUAACAGCAAUCAUUCAUACACCCCUCAUUAAGUUGGAGAGGUACCGAGGAAUGUACGUCCAUUUUCUUGUUGGCCUGUCUGUGAAAGUGUGUGUUUUGUAACUUUAAAAUUGUUGGUUAAAAUACUGAUAUUAGUCUAUAUCUGUUGUAAAUUUUAACCAUUUAUCCAAAGUUACAAGAUUGUAUGUACAAUUGUCAAAAUCCAUGGUCAAGAUCAUCACUUUUCAACUCAGAAAAUCAGCAAGGAUUUAUUAUUGAAAAAAAGAAUGACUUUGAUUAAUGAUAAGUGGUUAAAGUUCAAGGUCAGAGUAAAAUCAAUUAAGAAGCGUUCAUGGCCUUAUGAUAGUAAGGUGCCAGUAACCAUGGUACUAAGUAUACAUGUUGUCUCUUGCCUUAAGAUACGCGGUGAGCUUGGGGACCAUUUUGUGUACCAUACAAGCUAGGUCACCAUAUCUAAAGAUGCAGUAAAAUUUAUCUUGUCAAAACUAGCAAGGUAUUUAAACAUGGUCAUUUGGUAGAGUUGAAAUUUUGACGUUGUGAAUUUAAGGGUUUAUCUGAUCAAAGGGUGUGUUGUGAUCUCCAUACAAAACCAUUUGGUCAAUGGUGCUUUGUCUACAUCAGAUGUUACUUCCUCUGCUUUAUAGAACAGCCUAUUGAAGGUUAAAGUCUCCAGGAGACAGCUCUAGUUUUACUUUGUUAUCACACAUCACAUGUGUUGAAAUAGAAUCUGCUUGCAUCUAUAAGCAGGGCAGAUUUUUACAUCUUUGACUUUGUUAUUCUAUUUUUCAUUAUUGAACUUCAGUAAGAUUUAAACAGAAGAAAAUGAAUAUUUACAUGUAUGUACACUGCAUGUUCUGAUAAUGGCAUGAUAUUGUUAUCUGAAUAAUAAAAAGAUAGUUAAA
rnacentral:misc_RNA from 1 species